AAGUGGUCCAGCUUCUUACACUCAUAACAAAUGACGGGCUAUUCUUUUUCUUUUUCUUUACUCGGCUCUCUCUUAAUUGAUGGUCUUCUUUUGGUCCCUUGUCUUCUUUUCUUCAUAAAUUGUCUGAAUUUUCUUGUAAUCAAUGCCAAAUCCUCAUCUUCUUCAUUAUUUUCUGAUUUUUCUGAAUCUUCUUCUUCUUGAGCCAUUGAUUUGAGGGCAAUU
rnacentral:lncRNA from 1 species